CAAUCAAAUGUACCCAUCCCCUGAGUGACGUACAUUUAGAGGGAGAGAGUCAUGCAGGUUCUCAGAGCGACGUGCUGGUGGCAAGGAGGCACAGCUGGCUCCGGAAGAGAAAGAAAUGAUCCCGAGCCGCCAGUGGGAGGGGCUGCCCCACAAAGGAGUGAGCUCCCUGUCUCUGGAAGGGUUCAAGCUGAGCUGGAUAACAACCUCAGUGUUCAAGGCCCUUUCUGAUGCUUGACUGUGUGAAAUCUGCCGGGGAGGCUGCUGGAAGAAUUCUAGCUCCGAAAGGAAAGCGCAGCCACAAUGUCGAGGGAUCGUCCAAAACCAGGGCUUCAGGAAGGAGACCCCAGCACCCAGCCCCAUACAGAGACAAGAGAGACGGGCGGCGGAGGCAGAGGGAGAGAGACUCUUAAGCAGACUCGACCCCCAGCAUGGAGCCCAGUGCAGGGCUCCGUCUCACAACCCUGGGAUCAUGACUUGAGCUGAAAUGAAGAGUUGGACGCUCCAGUGACUGCACCACCCAGGGCCCCACACGGCUGCAUUUUAACACUGUUCCCUAUCAGUUUUUCUUGCUCAUCAGUUUGCUCCUUGCACACCUCCCACACUCCUCCCAUGUGCACACACACUUGAUGAAGCUCUGUGAGAGCUGGGGUUCGCCACCACACCCCGGGCCUUAGGAGAGGCCCUGUGCAUAGUUAUCUCCCACGUGAAUAAAUGAACAAAUGAGUGAGUAAA